GGUUUGAACCUAGGAUAUUCUGAUUAUAUUGGCUAGAGUGUCAUGAUUAGAGUGUUGGACUCGGGCCUGGAAGACCAGGGUUCAGCCAUGAGGUUCACGUGGGGACCAUGGGCCAGUCACAGGCUUCCAGCCUUACCUUAUGUUGUGAGCAAAAUAUGGGUCAGGGGAAAGCUUGGAGGAUGUGGUAACUCAGCUGGGCCAUUACUGUUUCAAUCUGACUUUUCUAAAAAAAAAAAUCUAAAAGAUAUUUGAAGCAAGGCUGCCCAAGCCUUAUUCAUAAGCCCACACACACUCACAUCCCAUUUUUAUUUUUUGCUCUGCCCCCCCUCAAAAAGUCCUUUGGUUUCACCCCCAGUUUCACCCACCUACUACAAGCCACCCCUCCAAACAGAGGUGCCAAUUUGAAUAAAAUAUUGGAGGGGGGCAGGGAAGCCCUGCGCCACCCUGCUUAAUCAGUCACUUGAUGAGGUGUACACACACCAUUUGAAUGGCAAUGCACAUCAACUUGGGGGGACCCUGGCCCCCUCAACUGUUUUAUUGGGGGGCUGAAGGGACCUCAGCGACCAGGAGUUGGUUCCUAUGAUUCCAAAUAAGCAAAACGGGUCCAUUUCGCAAAGUCUGCUGUACGGCAUUAUCAUCUGUUUGCUUGAACUCUGGCACUCUUCUGAACUCUGUUUGCUGAAGCUGACCCCAACUUGCAUGAUCAGAUUAACUGGGAGGUUUUACACUCAUUUCACAAACCGCAGGAGCCCUCAGCAAUGAAAAAGAAAAGCUCCCUUGCCUCCUUUGCCUUCACUUCUGCAUUUUGAAUGUUAUAUUUCACUCUAGCAGAAAGGGUAUGUCUUGACUGGGCAAUUGAUUUUAAAUCAAACGGCUUUAUGCUUCUGACAGCUGUUGUGAGCAACGAAGGAGUGUGUGCGUAUGUGUGUGUAAGGAAGCUGUGAGAGCUUCUCUCACCGAGGCCCAGCUCCUUGACUCUUCCCUCCAGUCCUCUCUCUCUGCCUGUGAAUGACGCGUGUCAGACACAACUCUGAGCUGCAUCGGGGCACUUUGUAUCUUCAUCCUGUGUAUUGAUUUGCUUUUAUUGCUUAAGCCUUCCCACUGCACCAAAGAGAACUGGAGCAUCUUGACCCUGCUGGGUUAAAGGAAGCCUAAGGAGGCCCGGGGAACAUGUGUUUCAAAACAAACUGAACAACCAAGUUGCUCAUGAAUGCUCUGGUCUGAUGGAGUCAUGCUGUGCUGGAGGCUGUGAAGCUAUAUCUCUUUUUGAGAGAGAGGGAUGAAUUAAAAAAAAUGCCAUAGGAAGUACACAGCUAGCAACAGAGGUCUAGAGGACUUGGGUAUCUAGGCCUCCAACUGGAAGCCCUUGAAGGUCAUGAAACUUGCUCAGAUGUCUCCAUAUGUCAAGAGCAAUUCCUUAUGGACUAGUGACUUAGGCCAAAGGUUGCACAACCUGUGGCGCAGCAGUUGUUGUGGGAUGUCAUCUCCCACAAGGCCCAGCCAGCAUAGCCAACGGUCAUGGAUGAUGGGACUUGUUGUCAUCAAUGCCUGAAGGGCCACCUGGUUUUAGACAAGCAGUCCUCUGGCAUUAGAUCCCCUCCCAACAUACAACAGUCACCAUAUACUAAUGCAAAGGUGACUCCGUUGUGUGCUGUGUUGGAUCUGAUGCAAUGUAAUGCAAUGGUGACUAGUGAGGCUAAUGAAGUUUGCUUAUUCCCUGGCUUGGAAGAGAACUUCAAAUACAUUAUGGGGCAAUCAUCAAUGUUUGAUAGUUAUUCUCUGGCUUUGAUUGUAACCCAAACUGGAGAAGAUAUUUACCCUUUGUUGUAGGCUGUUGCCCCACCACACAUACCCAUGGGUACCCUGGGAAAACAAGUCCCUGGUUUCUGUGAUACUAACAUUCUUAAUAGCAGAGAGGAGGGGAAGGAGGGAAGGAAGGAAGGAAGGAAGGAGUAAAAAGAGGCACAGAGAGACAGAGAGAAGAGACUGCUGAGGCCUCCAGAGCUCCACCAGGCCACAAGAGGAAGAAGAGGAUAUGAGAGGCAACAUUCUUGCUGGAUAUGUAACAAACAUAGCAGGAUUUGUGGAUUCAGAAUUGAGUCCAGCAAAAACAAGCUCAAUUUACUAGGGCUGUGUAUAGGCCAUCUGGUCAUAUUUGUGACUCCAAUUCGUAAAACCUGAUUAGGUCUGAUCAAGUCCGACUUGAUCUGGAUCCAGAUCCGGAUUUGACAAAUCUUCAGAAAUCCAAUUGACUUGUUUUGAGAAACAAAAUAUGGCCAUAACAUUAUUGUUUUUAGCCCAGGGACAUGAAAUUUGGAGACAUGGUAGCCUCUGUAGAGGGAUUAAAUCUUCCCAAAUUACAGAUAUGUAGCUCCAGGGGUUUUCAUACUAACCACCUUUAAAAAAAUAUAUGAGUGUACAGUCAUGCCAGUUCUCAUGCAUUAUGAUCAUCAUCCUGAAUUCAGAAGGCUGUGGCUAAUUGAUAUGCCCACAAGGUUUAACUGACUACUUUAAAAAUAUAAUAAAAUUGUGUAACCCCUGUUGGCUAC